rnacentral:rRNA from 1 species
UAUGAUGAUGACAUUUUCUAUCUAUGUGUCUUGACCAAAUCGCGUGCCAGCAGUCGCGGUAAUACGUGGAAGACUAGUGUUAUUCAUCUUUAAUUGGUUUAAAGGGUACCUAGACGGUCUAUUAAGCCCCUAAAUGGUACUAAUAGACUAGAGUUUAAUGGGAAGGGGGGAGUACUAAAGAGUGUAGAGAUGAAAUUCUGUCAUACCUGACUUGGAACAGGCAACGGCGAAAGCAACCCCUUAUGUAAAAACUGACGUUGAAGGACGAAGGCUUGGGACACCAACAGGAUUAGAUACCCCAGCAGUCCUUGCAGACAAUGAUGAAUGUCAUAGAUUAGAGUUAAAUAUCUUUUAUUUUUAUAAACGGUCUGGAAUAGAUUCAAAAAUUGAAAAAGGUACCAAAUUAUGGCUAAUAAAAGAUAUUUUUUUUGUCUAUAAAUGAAAGUGUAAGCAUUCCACCUCAAGAGUAAUGUGGCAACGCAGAAACUGAAAUCAUUAGACCGUUUCUGAAACCAGUAGUGAAGUAUGUUGUUUAAUUUGAUGGUCCGCAAAACACCUUACCACAAUUUGAAUAUUUCUAUAUAUGUAGAAAUACAAGCGUUGCACGGCUGUCUUCAGUUAAUGUCGUGAGAUUUUGGUUAGUUCCAUAAAAUUAACGUAAACCCUUACUUUAUUUUUAUUAUAGAGUAGUUCACCGCUAUAUUGGAUAAGAUAAAAGGGACCAAGACAAGUCAAUAUGGCCUUAAUAUUGUG